rnacentral:rRNA from 1 species
UAGGGAAUCUUCCGCAAUGGGCGAAAGCCUGACGGAGCAACGCCGCGUGAGUGAUGAAGGUCUUCGGAUCGUAAAACUCUGUUAUUAGGGAAGAACAAAUGUGUAAGUAACUAUGCACGUCUUGACGGUACCUAAUCAGAAAGCCCCGGCUAACUACGUGCCAGCAGCCGCGGUAAUACGUAGGUGGCAAGCGUUAUCCGGAAUUAUUGGGCGUAAAGCGCGCGUAGGCGGUUUUUUAAGUCUGAUGUGAAAGCCCACGGCUCAACCGUGGAGGGUCAUUGGAAACUGGAAAACUUGAGUGCAGAAGAGGAAAGUGGAAUUCCAUGUGUAGCGGUGAAAUGCGCAGAGAUAUGGAGGAACACCAGUGGCGAAGGCGACUUUCUGGUCUGUAACUGACGCUGAUGUGCGAAAGCGUGGGGAUCAAACAGG